GGGUUGUGAGGUUAAGCGACUAAGCGUACACGGUGGAUGCCCUGGCAGUCAGAGGCGAUGAAGGACGUGCUAAUCUGCGAUAAGCGCCGGUAAGGUGAUAUGAACCGUUAUAACCGGCGAUUUCCGAAUGGGGAAACCCAGUGUGAUUCGUCACACUAUCAUUAACUGAAUCCAUAGGUUAAUGAGGCGAACCGGGGGAACUGAAACAUCUAAGUACCCCGAGGAAAAGAAAUCAACCGAGAUUCCCCCAGUAGCGGCGAGCGAACGGGGAGGAGCCCAGAGCCUGAAUCAGCAUGUGUGUUAGUGGAAGCGUCUGGAAAGGCGCGCGAUACAGGGUGACAGCCCCGUACACAAAAGCGCAUGUGCUGUGAGCUCGAUGAGUAGGGCGGGACACGUGGUAUCCUGUCUGAAUAUGGGGGGACCAUCCUCCAAGGCUAAAUACUCCUGACUGACCGAUAGUGAACCAGUACCGUGAGGGAAAGGCGAAAAGAACCCCGGCGAGGGGAGUGAAAAAGAACCUGAAACCGUGUACGUACAAGCAGUGGGAGCACAGGUUUACCUGUGUGACUGCGUACCUUUUGUAUAAUGGGUCAGCGACUUAUAUUCUGUAGCAAGGUUAACCGAAUAGGGGAGCCGGAGGGAAACCGAGUCUUAAUUGGGCGUUAAGUUGCAGGGUAUAGACCCGAAACCCGGUGAUCUAGCCAUGGGCAGGUUGAAGGUUGGGUAACACUAACUGGAGGACCGAACCGACUAAUGUUGAAAAAUUAGCGGAUGACCUGUGGCUGGGGGUGAAAGGCCAAUCAAACCGGGAGAUAGCUGGUUCUCCCCGAAAGCUAUUUAGGUAGCGCCUCGUGAAUUCAUCUCCGGGGGUAGAGCACUGUUUCGGCUAGGGGGCCAUCCCGGCUUACCAACCCGAUGCAAACUGCGAAUACCGGAGAAUGUUAUCACGGGAGACACACGGCGGGUGCUAACGUCCGUCGUGAAGAGGGAAACAACCCAGACCGCCAGCUAAGGUCCCAAAGUCAUGGUUAAGUGGGAAACGAUGUGGGAAGGCCCAGACAGCCAGGAUGUUGGCUUAGAAGCAGCCAUCAUUUAAAGAAAGCGUAAUAGCUCACUGGUCGAGUCGGCCUGCGCGGAAGAUGUAACGGGGCUAAACCAUGCACCGAAGCUGCGGCAGCGACACUGUGUGUUGUUGGGUAGGGGAGCGUUCUGUAAGCCUGUGAAGGUGGCCUGUGAGGGUUGCUGGAGGUAUCAGAAGUGCGAAUGCUGACAUAAGUAACGAUAAAGCGGGUGAAAAGCCCGCUCGCCGGAAGACCAAGGGUUCCUGUCCAACGUUAAUCGGGGCAGGGUGAGUCGACCCCUAAGGCGAGGCCGAAAGGCGUAGUCGAUGGGAAACGGGUUAAUAUUCCCGUACUUGGUGUUACUGCGAAGGGGGGACGGAGAAGGCUAUGUUGGCCGGGCGACGGUUGUCCCGGUUUAAGCGUGUAGGUGUGUGUUCCAGGUAAAUCCGGUUCACUUUAACACUGAGGCGUGACGACGAGGCACUACGGUGCUGAAGCAACAAAUGCCCUGCUUCCAGGAAAAGCCUCUAAGCAUCAGGUAACAUCAAAUCGUACCCCAAACCGACACAGGUGGUCAGGUAGAGAAUACCAAGGCGCUUGAGAGAACUCGGGUGAAGGAACUAGGCAAAAUGGUGCCGUAACUUCGGGAGAAGGCACGCUGACACGUAGGUGAAGUGAUUUACUCAUGGAGCUGAAGUCAGUCGAAGAUACCAGCUGGCUGCAACUGUUUAUUAAAAACACAGCACUGUGCAAACACGAAAGUGGACGUAUACGGUGUGACGCCUGCCCGGUGCCGGAAGGUUAAUUGAUGGGGUCAGCGCAAGCGAAGCUCCUGAUCGAAGCCCCGGUAAACGGCGGCCGUAACUAUAACGGUCCUAAGGUAGCGAAAUUCCUUGUCGGGUAAGUUCCGACCUGCACGAAUGGCGUAAUGAUGGCCAGGCUGUCUCCACCCGAGACUCAGUGAAAUUGAACUCGCUGUGAAGAUGCAGUGUACCCGCGGCAAGACGGAAAGACCCCGUGAACCUUUACUAUAGCUUGACACUGAACAUUGAGCCUUGAUGUGUAGGAUAGGUGGGAGGCUUUGAAGUGUGGACGCCAGUCUGCAUGGAGCCGACCUUGAAAUACCACCCUUUAAUGUUUGAUGUUCUAACGUGGACCCGUAAUCCGGGUUGCGGACAGUGUCUGGUGGGUAGUUUGACUGGGGCGGUCUCCUCCUAAAGAGUAACGGAGGAGCACGAAGGUUGGCUAAUCCUGGUCGGACAUCAGGAGGUUAGUGCAAUGGCAUAAGCCAGCUUGACUGCGAGCGUGACGGCGCGAGCAGGUGCGAAAGCAGGUCAUAGUGAUCCGGUGGUUCUGAAUGGAAGGGCCAUCGCUCAACGGAUAAAAGGUACUCCGGGGAUAACAGGCUGAUACCGCCCAAGAGUUCAUAUCGACGGCGGUGUUUGGCACCUCGAUGUCGGCUCAUCACAUCCUGGGGCUGAAGUAGGUCCCAAGGGUAUGGCUGUUCGCCAUUUAAAGUGGUACGCGAGCUGGGUUUAGAACGUCGUGAGACAGUUCGGUCCCUAUCUGCCGUGGGCGCUGGAGAACUGAGGGGGGCUGCUCCUAGUACGAGAGGACCGGAGUGGACGCAUCACUGGUGUUCGGGUUGUCAUGCCAAUGGCACUGCCCGGUAGCUAAAUGCGGAAGAGAUAAGUGCUGAAAGCAUCUAAGCACGAAACUUGCCCCGAGAUGAGUUCUCCCUGAGACUUAAAGUCUCCUGAAGGAACGUUGAAGACGACGACGUUGAUAGGCCGGGUGUGUAAGCGCAGCGAUGCGUUGAGCUAACCGGUACUAAUGAACCGUGAGGCUUAACCUUACAACGCCGAAG
rnacentral:rRNA from 1 species